ACAGCUUCAACAUCCCCUGUGGCAGGAAAUGUACGAAACCACUCCGGAUUCUCCUUCAUAGGGUCAUCAGAAUUGGAAGGGAUCACACGAGGAAGUCCAAAGAGGCCUAGAAGCACGGAAUUGAUCCAAUCCCCAACUGGUGUCCCCUCCAUAAACAUGGAUGUGAAGCCUGGCGAGACAAACGAGCAGGUUUCAAUGAAGUUUGGCAAUGAGAG
rnacentral:misc_RNA from 1 species